GUGGUGGUGGUGGUGGUGGUGGUUCUUGCGCGUGUGUGUGUCAGUUCUUCUCGUGAUCUUGCGGUGAACGGAGCUUUGCGUCAUUUACGAAGCAUGGAACCAAAGAGGAGAACAACAACAAACAACAAAUGAGAGAUAGAAAGAAAAGAAAAACAAUAAACUGAGUGAAAAGAAAGAAAAUAAAAGAGAAAAUAAGAAAAAAA